AGCACAAAAUAUCCACAACAAAUUGAAAAUAAAACUAAACCUGUUACAAAACGUUCCACGGUCGAGCCAAGACAAUUCUCGAUUUUCCACGCGACUAAAAUUUCGCGCUGCAAGUUGUUCUCGUAUUUGUUUUCCUGUGGCUGGGGUUGUGCCGCCUGCUCAUGUUUGCAAGUGCUCUUGGCACUGAAACUGCAGCCAUGUAAUGGAAUUGGCUGCGGUUCAACGAGCGCUGCAAAUUGCCCUGCCAUGCGAUACAGCACACCCCAUUCCCCCAACUGCCUGUUUGCCGUUUAUGCUAAUUGUUGUCAUAGUUUCUGUACUACGUCGUCGCUGUUCAUGUGACACUAGCAAUUAGGCAUCUGGCCCGAUUUUCCGUUUGCGUUGACUCUAUUGAUUGCCUGCCUCGAUGUCGCCCGCAAUUAAUCGUGCCGAACUCUCCCUGCUGGUGACAAAACCUAAUUUAAUUAUACGAGGGCGACCGCAGCUCAAUGCAUCAACAUGCAGUUUAAGCCAGUAAUUGGAAAUAGAAUCACGAUUGCCGCUUUCGACAUAUUUUUGUGCAGAAAGUGGUUAUUAAUUUUUGGUUAUUUGUGUGACAAGAAUUUAUGAUUUCAAGAUUAAGUGCGCAAAUUAAAAUGGUUCAUUAAAACUGUUUAAGAGAAUUAAAUACAGAAAAUAUAAUUUUU